GUUGUCUAGGAAGACUAGGCAGGCGCCCAACGCAGUGUUUAACAUGGUGGGGCUGAAAUACCAAACCCUGACAAGGGAAAAAGUCCAUCCAAAAUUAAAAAGAGAAAAUAAGGCAUUUGGGAUGCCGAUGUUAAAAGGAGAAGGUAAUCAGAGAAGAAAAAAGGAAGUCGGUGGAGAGUUCUGCGAAGAUUUUGAAGAUUUCUAGGUGGAAAACAACCCAUCAACAGAACACCUAUUUACUGUCUACUGUGUGUGAAGCAUGGUGCUGAGUGUGGGGGAUGGUCUAAAGCCAAGACCUCCAGGGGCUUACAGUUCAGUCCGAAAGACAAGGUGUAAAUGCCUGCUGGAAACAUGCAGUGACCCCAGGUGGCAUGAGACAGACGGAGGCUUGACCACAGACAGAGGGGAAGGUGAUGUGAUGGAAGCAGAGACUGGAAGAUGCCACAUCGCUGGCUUUGAAGAUGGAGGAAGGGGCCAUGAGCCAAGGAAUGCAAGGAAUGAAGCUCUAGAGGCUGAAGAAGGCCAGGAAACGGAUACUGCUCUAGAGCCUCCGGAAGGAACUUUAGCCCAGUGAAACUGAAUUAAUCCUGAAUGCUAAGAGAAUAAUGUGUUGUUUUAA
rnacentral:lncRNA from 1 species